UCGUGAAAACCGGGGGCUUAACCUCUGGCGUGCGGGCGAUACGGGCAGACUGGAGUACUGCAGGGGAGACUGGAAUUCCUGGUGUAGCGGUGGAAUGCGCAGAUAUCAGGAGGAACACCGGUGGCGAAGGCGGGUCUCUGGGCAGUAACUGACGCUGAGGAGCGAAAGCGUGGGGAGCGAACAGGAUUAGAUACCCUGGUAGUCCACGCCGUAAACGGUGGGUACUAGGUGUGGGUUUCCU
rnacentral:rRNA from 1 species